UCACAAGGGAAAGCAUAUGUAGAUUGAAGCUAUGCAGAAUGAAGUCUCAACAGCUGAAGCUUACUGGGGAACCAAUGGUGCCCUAAAUUAAGAUAAUUUAUGAAAUGUUGGUCUCCCUCUGUUGCUGCCCAGGCUCCAGGCUGAAGUGCAGAGGCAUGAUCUUGGCUCACUGCCGCCUCCUCUUCCCAGGCUCAAGCGAUCCUCCCACAUUUGCCUCCUGAGUAGCUGAGACUACAGUCUUGCCUUGUCACCCAGGCUGGAGUGCAAUGGCACAAUCUCGGCUCACUGCAAUCUCUGCCUCCCAGGUUCAAGUGAUUCUUCUGCCUCAGCCUCCCAAGCAACUGGGACUACAG
rnacentral:sRNA from 1 species